rnacentral:rRNA from 1 species
UACGAGGGGGCGAGCGUUGUUCGGAAUUAUUGGGCGUAAAGGCGCGUAGGCGGCGAUUCAAGUGGCGGGUGAAUCCCUCGGCUUAACCGAGGAACUGCCUGCCAGACUGGAUUGCUUGAGUCCGGAGAGGUGAGUGGAAUUCCCAGUGUAGCGGUGAAAUGCGUAGAUAUUGGGAGGAACACCAGUGGCGAAGGCGGCUCACUGGACCGGAACUGACGCUGAGGCGC